rnacentral:lncRNA from 1 species
CUGUUUGAUGACACCGGUGCUCGUGCAUCCAUGUGGCUCUGUGACUUGAUCAUCCUGAUGCGACUAGGAACCGAGGGCAAGAGAAAACAGAUUGCUUGGUCCAAUGUCUACCUCCAGAGUCAAGAGAAAACCUCGAGGACUGAAAGUGAGGCAAAUCUACUGCCCAAAACUUG